AUAAAAUACAAGCUCCUGAUGCGGCACGUUAACGUCAGUAUAUUUCUCUGUUUUAAAACGGAGCCUCUUGAGACAUCAAACAUUUGGCAACCCGUCAGCUGCAGAUAACUUGAAGACACUUCCUGUUUAUGGCAGGGAGGAAGACGAAAGCAGCAGCUCAGCGGGACGGUGCGCUGGGUGCUCGGGCGCGGGGUGACGUGACAGGUGCCAUCUUCCCGGCGGCGCGUGGCCCGUGGCGCCCGCCAGCCCCGCCGCAGCGCGGGGCCCGGUGACGGCGGCAGGACGGCGCAGCCGCCAUUUUGCUCUGAUAAUCCCUGGUAAUCAGAUCUGCCUGUGGCUUGUGAAAUCCAGGCUGGUGCCAGCGCCCUGGCUUCCCUGCUUCGUUUACUAACUGCUACGUUAUUUUUCAUCUGUUUAUUUUACAGCAAAUGCUUUGGUGCUUAAUUAACACAGCCAGCUGGGAUAUUUAGCAUAUUUAGCAUAUCGGCCAAGUUGUUUAUGUAAAUUUAGAAAGAUGAGGAAAUCCAAUGUUCCCUACACCCAACCCCUUGCUCCGUGGUCAUCAAUGCAGUUUUGAAUUCAUGCAUCGUUUAGAAUUCCUCUUAAACCUAACAAAGGGUUUUGAUUACCUUAUUCUCCUUUGAAGCUUUUCUCAAGUGAAGAAAGCAAGCAUUUAUGGAGAUAACCUAGCUCUGUGCAUAGCAACUUCCCACCAAAAAGGAGAGAUGAAAUAUUUCCUUGAAAAUAUCUGAACUGUACUGAAGUACAGUCACAUUUAUUUUCCUUAUCUGAUUAUAUUAUCUUUUUUAAGUAUAUAUUGAAACUCAUACAUUAUCGUGAGGAUGUUAAACAGUAUAGUCUUAUUCUUUCAUUUUGGUUUCUUCCGAUUAUUUACUACCUCAGGAAACUAGUGCAACAAUACUACUAGUGCUUUAUAAGCACUAACAAAUGCUUACCGAGAUAAAGAAGGAAGUAGCUUGAUUUUCAUUUAGCCAGAAGCUCCAAUAUAUUUGGUACAGUCUUCCUAUAUAGUCUCUCUGCCUUUCACUUUAAAUAGUCAGCAGAACCUGUUUUCCAAGUACUUGGAAUCAUGAAGCUUAGAGAAAAACUGGUCUUUGAGACAGGUGAAAAACAUUGUUAGAAAAAUGGACAAUUUGCUUUUGUCUUAAGACUUGCUUGAAUAUUAAUUUUGCCCAAGGCUAACCUAUGUUUAUUUUUUACAAGCUAUUGUGUAUGAGGUUUUACUGGACAGUUACUCUGUUUCCAAAUCUUUAUCCUAUGUUAGAAGCACUGAACAGGAGGAACUGAUUCAUUUUAGACAAAAAAAGAAUCCAGAAGUGUGAAGUAUUUCAUCAUUGUCACCCUUGAUGGGCCUGGAAGUUAGAGAUUUGCUAGAGCCCCUUCAUGAUAAAUGCUGCUUAUCAUCAUCUGAGGAAACAAUUUAAUAUCAACAUAAGAUAGACAAUCUAUUGUAAGGAGGGGAGGUCUUUUUUUCCCAGCAUUUUGUCUUGGAACUAUCAUAUGCCUUCCUGGUUGUUUAAAACAUAGGGAAAGAAAUUUGUUCUUGUGAGGAAAUUGUCAUAAUUUCAGUAACUGAUCUGUAUAUCCCUCUUUCACUAAUUUACACAAUCCACAUUAAAAGAUUAUCUUAGAAAUACUGAACGUCUCUGUGGAGAGCUUAAUUACUGCUUCAGGAUCACUGAAAUUCUUAUAAAUAGUAUCUUUUUAGCUUAGGACUCUGCUACCAAAAAAUGGUUUCUUUCAUCUCAUGACAAACUGUUCUUAUCAGUAGUUGUUUACCAUCAGGUAUGGGAGGUGGAACAAAUAGUUGAACACCACGGCAGUAUUGAUUGCAAAAGUAAAGUGUGUCCCAAAGCUUUCACAACCUUCUUUUUUAUUCCAACCUAUGUAACCAAAAAGCAAAGUUUCACACUCAGGUGUAGGUUACUUUUCAUCUUGGACUUUGUCUAUUGCUUCUUUACUAUUGUUUCUUUGUUAUUGUUUUAGGUGCGUAUAUACAUAUUAAUAUGUAUUAAUGAAGAUUUCUGACACAAGUGCCCUAAGAAGUAUUUGUGACAAAUGUGUUGUCAGUAACAAUACAAUACUAUGGAUUAAAUUAAGCCUGUUAUAAUCCUUUAAAAGAAAUGCAUUAUUGAACAACAAUAAAUAUAAGCAUCUUUUUAGAUUACAUGAAACAAAUUUAAGGAAGAUUAGGUUAUAAAUUCCCCCUAAAUCGUAGAGACAUUAAUUUACUUGUAUUUGACCAUCUGAUGCUCUGGGAGUUUUAUAUCUAUAGACAAUAUAACAGAUUUGGAGAAAACUGACUUGGUUUUGUUUGUUUUGUUUUGGUUUUUUUUUUUUAAAUUGAUAGGGUGUUUUCUUAAAGCAACUUCAGCUCAUCCACUAAAAAAAGAAUCACCUUUUCUGUACUGUAAUUGAAGGUACUAAUUUCCAUGUGUGUGUGUGUGUAUAUAUAUAUAAUUUGAGCUAUUUGGAAUUCACAGUCCUAUCCUCUCCUUGUGUAUUAAAAAUAUUCUUCAAAGUCAGAAA